CACCCUCCAGGGGGGCACCCACCCCUCUGGCAUGUGCCAAGAUGCACCCGAGUGGCAAAAAACUCACGAAGUCUUCACUCAGAUCUAGGAACACAGGAAGCUGGCUGAGGCUGAGUCACCAACUGGUCUAUUUAACUCCAUAUCGUCAACACGGACUGGCGGUGUCUCCCCGGGGGUCUCCAGAAAGCGGAGGUCUUACCGCCAGCUCAGCAGAGAUUGGAUCUGGGAAAGGAGGUGCCGGGACAAUGAGCUGCACCCCAUCCCCUAAAAAUAAGAUGCCAUUGGGGAUUGAACCAGGACCUUCUGCAUGCAAUGCAACUGCCCUUCCACUGAGCUACAGUCCAUGGAUGUGAUGCAAUGGAUCAUCUAGGAGGCAGUGAUGGUCAGAGGCAGAAAUGCUGCUGAAUGCCCAUUUCUGGAAGCCACAGGUGGAGAGAAAGUUGGUG